ACACACUUCCAAAGAUAACACUGCCAACUCACUCCCAAACACUACACACAUUACUCCCUUCUACACACUACCAAACACUACACACACUCCCAAACACUACACACACUACUCACUCCUACACACUACCAAACACUACACACUACUCACUCCUACUCACUCCCAAACACUACUCACUCCUACACACUAUGGAGGUUGGUGUUUCUCUGUGGAUUUGGUGAGUGUGCGGUUUGUUGUGAGGCGUCUGAUUAUAAAUGAUUCGGUACAGAAAGUGUUAGGUAUUCACCAGCAGCUGCUGUCAGGUGUGCACUCGAACCACGACCUGCUGAUUACUGUGAUUCAUCCGAACCCUAUCUGUGUGUAAACAGCCCCUCAUCAUCACAGACCACACCCUCCAGAACCUCCACACUCAUCACACUCUCAUAAACACUUCAGCAGCGUUCCUGAGUACCUGCUCCUCUUCCUGCAGUUCACCUCCAGACAUACCGCCCCCUGUUUACCCGCCGGUACUGCAGAGCGUCAGCAGUGCUCGGGCUGGAGUCUCUGGCUUCUCGGCAGGUUCUGAGGGAGGCCUUCUCCCAGUCUGAACUGCUCACGGCAAAGGAAAAGCACCGCAGGACCCAGGAGCUCCUACAGCAGGUGGAGGAGGUUUGGCGUGAGGCCAGGUGGAUGGGAGAGGUUCUUCAGUGCGCUCGAGAUAAACAGCAGCCAGCAGGAGUAAGUCUAAGUUCCAUUAUCAACAUCACCAAGGAGAGCAUCCCUGAGAAAACACCUUCUACCUCCUUUCAGCCCAACUUCCUGCCCUCACCUGUCCCGUCGCCUGUCCCGUUGCCUGUCACGUCGCCUGUCACGUCACCUGUCACGUCGCCUGUCCCGUCUCCAUGCACCAGCAGGAAACAUUCAGAUGAAGGUUCCUUGGAGGUUUUCCUCACUCCUGACAGUAAUUAUGGCUCCAGUAGAGCACAGAGUCCACCAGAACUCGACCUCCUGCCCCCCGUUGCCCCCUCCCACACCGACCACACCCCGCCAGACCUCCUGCAGACUGGAACCGGGGUCAGGGGGGUGGGACUGCAGAUGAUUGACAGUGACUUCGUCCUGCCUAGUCGUCAGAUAGAUCUGUUACGGAUCACAGAGAAAAAAACCGCACUGUGCAUCCGGACCAGCAGUCUCGAGUACCCGUCUUCCGUCUCGACGGCAACUGCAUUCACAAGGCCCUCCCCACGUCCAGCAGCAGUGGACCGCUGUCGUCCCACCCUCGAGUCCCGCACCCUAUCAGAGGAUGGCGGGAUACAGCGAGUGACUGCCCACUCGCCAAACUCCACCCACCUGUCCUGCUAUACCACUCUCAGAGUGUAUCCGCAGUACCACACCGGCCUGCCCCGGGACACUAGUGUCCAGGUAAGACCCGCCCCAGUAACACUGCCUCACUCUGAGACUCCGCCCCCUCUCUGGGAUUAGUCCUCAUCACCUCUGUGUGUGUGUGUGUUCUCUCUGCAGCUGCGGGCGACGAUACACACGACUGCACGGGAGAUGGUGCAGCUGGUGGUUCAGGAAAUAAGUGGAGUGUGUUCACGCCUGCAGGCCGCCGUCGGGCAGUGUGUGUACGGGGCGGGGCAGUGUGUGUAUGGGGCGGGGCACUGUGUGUAUGGGGCGGGGCACUGUGUGUAUGGGGCGGGACUGGGUGUGUACGGGGUGGAGCAGCUGGAGAACUUUGGGCUGGUUCUGGUGAUGGAUGGUCUGGAAAAGUGGCUUCAGGACGAUUUCUGCCCCCUGACCCUCCAGAACCCCUGGACCCACGGGACACUCUGUAUCCGCUUCAAACAGCAACCACCACUCCCCCUGCAGUUCAGCAUGGGUACUGCAGUCUAACACACACAUACACGCACACACACACUAUACUCACCAUACACACACAUACACAAACACACACUUACACAAACACUCACACACACAGUUACACAAACACACACUGACCUGUGCAGCCAAUUUGGUAAAGAGCAGCAGAUAAAAGAGAAGAGAAUAAACUGAUCAGAACCGACUCGGCCCUUCUGAUC
ensembl:lncRNA